rfam:Aspergillus rambellii strain SRRC1468 contig00066, whole genome shotgun sequence.
CCGCUGGUCGUCUAGUUGGUUUAUGGCGCUGGACUGUAACUGAAAUUUGAUGCUAUCCAGAUGUCGUCGGUUCGAUUCCGACCCAGCGGA